AUUGAACGCUGGCGGCAUGCUUUACACAUGCAAGUCGAACGGCAGCGCGGGCUUCGGCCUGGCGGCGCGUGGCGAACGGGUGAGUAAUACAUCGGAACGUGCCCAGUAGUGGUGGAUAGCUCGGCGAAAGCCGGAUUAAUACCGCAUACGACCUGAGGGUGAAAGCGGGGGAUCUUCGGACCUCGCGCUCUUUGAGCGGCCGAUGGCAGAUUAGCUAGUUGGUUGGGUAAAGGCCUACCAAGGCGACGAUCUGUAGCUGGUCUGAGAGGACGACCAGCCACACUGGGACUGAGACACGGCCCAGACUCCUACGGGAGGCAGCAGUGGGGAAUUUUGGACAAUGGUCGAAAGCCUUAUCCAGCAAUGCCGCGUGUGUGAUGAAGGCCUUCGGGUUGUAAAGCACUUUUGGCGGGAACGAAAAGGACUGUGCCAAUACCACGGUUCGAUGACGGUACCCGCAGAAUAAGCACCGGCUAACUACGUG
rnacentral:rRNA from 1 species